UUUGCUUGCAAACUGAAGAUGGCGACCGGCGCACGGGUGAGUAACACGUAUCCAACCUGCCGAUAACUCCGGGAUAGCCUUUCGAAAGAAAGAUUAAUACCGGAUAGUAUACGAAUAUCGCAUGAUAUUUUUAUUAAAGAAUUUCGGUUAUCGAUGGGGAUGCGUUCCAUUAGUUUGUUGGCGGGGUAACGGCCCACCAAGACUACGAUGGAUAGGGGUUCUGAGAGGAAGGUCCCCCACAUUGGAACUGAGACACGGUCCAAACUCCUACGGGAGGCAGCAGUGAGGAAUAUUGGUCAAUGGGCGAGAGCCUGAACCAGCCAAGUAGCGUGAAGGAUGAAGGCUCUAUGGGUCGUAAACUUCUUUUAUAUGGGAAUAAAGUUUUCCACGUGUGGAAUUUUGUAUGUACCAUAUGAAUAAGGAUCGGCUAACUCCGUGCCAGCAGCCGCGGUAAUACGGAGGAUCCGAGCGUUAUCCGGAUUUAUUGGGUUUAAAGGGAGCGUAGGUGGAUUGUUAAGUCAGUUGUGAAAGUUUGCGGCUCAACCGUAAAAUUGCAGUUGAAACUGGCAGUCUUGAGUACAGUAGAGGUGGGCGGAAUUCGUGGUGUAGCGGUGAAAUGCUUAGAUAUCACGAAGAACUCCGAUUGCGAAGGCAGCUCACUAGACUGUUACUGA
rnacentral:rRNA from 1 species